UACGGAGGGUGCAAGCGUUGCUCGGAAUCAUUGGGCGUAAAGCGUACGCAGGCUGUUCGUUAAGUCGGGUGUGAAAGCCCGGGGCUCAACCCCGGAAAUGCGCCCGAAACUGGCGGGCUUGAGUGCGGGAGAGGGAAGCGGAAUUCCUGGUGUAGAGGUGAAAUUCGUAGAUAUUGGGAAGAACACCGGUGGCGAAGGCGGCGACCUGGUCCUUGACUGACGCUGAGGCGCGAAAGCGUGGGGAGCAAACAGG
rnacentral:rRNA from 1 species